CAGUCGUGCCGGCGUUGGAUUCAGCUUGCUUCGCGGAGCAGGCGCAUUUCCGCGCAUGGCAGGUCAGCGUCAGUUUUGCGCGGCGUGAAAAGGCCCGGGUAAGGUAGCUCUCUUCGGGGAGUGUUAUAGACCUGGGCAGAUGCGCUGCGCGGGACUGAGGAUUACAGCGGACACCCUUCGGGGGCGCGGCGACCCGAACCCUGCUCGGCCACCCUCGUCGAUAGCGUGCUAGCGGACGCGGGAGCGACAGUGCACCGGAAC
rnacentral:rRNA from 1 species